rnacentral:lncRNA from 1 species
UAAGAAGAGUUUAAACAUCAACUGGAAUCAGUCAGUAGAGAGUAUUGUGAGGGCUUUUGAAUCAGUUAGAGAGGGCCUCCUUGGAAUCAGACUAGAAGAGCUUAUAAGAAUCUAAGAGUUUAAGUUGAAAAGCCGAAAAAAGAGAAGGUUGAAAACUUUAGAAAAUGAGUCGAACUUUGUUUGGGAUUCAAGUAUUUGGGUCAGUUUUGUUUGAACUCGGAUGGUUGAUUUUGUUAAUGCUAUUGUUGGAUCAAUUUUAGUUUUUAAAGUGGUUUUUCUCAAUCAUUUCUGGGUGGAUUUUGCUUGCUGAGCAUUGUCUCUGUUACUGCCCUGUUGCUGACCUCUCGUUUCUCUGUUUUGCUUUCAAAUUCCAGGUACAUUCUCUUGAAAUUUUGCUGAUGUAUGCGUCAUAAUGAAGAGGAAAGUAAAAGUUUGAAAUUUGGCAGCUUGAAUCUAUUUUGUUUAAGUUUCAGUUUUGUUUGUGAUGUUUAUAUACUGGGUCAGUCGAGCAUUGUGGUUUGGCCACUCUUAGUGUGAUUAGCUAAAUUUGUAUGUUGUAUGUUAAACUUUGGAACUGUUAGCAACAUGUUACGGGUAGAAUUUAGCAAAUGCAUUAGUCUUGAGAGUUUUACUGUGAACUUUAUUGGCAUGGAUAUGUGUUAAGUUAGAACACCUCUGUUAGUUUGAUAGUUACACUUUGGGUGUCAAACUUACUUGGAAUAAUGGUUCAAGAGAAAUAUGAAUUGAAAGGAGGUGUUUGUGGAUCCAUAGUGUAUUGUUUUGAUAUGUGAAUAAACUAAGCAUGUAAUCGUAUUUUAGUGACUAAUCAAAUGGCUAGAUUAUUCUAUUAUGAUCCCAGUAACUUAACGGCUUUGCAAAAAUAUAAAAUCAGUUAUUUUGCUUUCGUCAUUUGUCAAAUGAGCCAGGAGUAUUAUGUUAUUGAUCGCAUUUUAUAUUAUGGUAGCCAUGUUGUCAUAUGUGUUAGGAUUUAUGCCCGUCACUAGAAGGGGGUGAAUAGUGAGGCACGAGAAUGUCGAUAAAUUUUGCGAAAUUAAAAUUGCAGGAGUAA